UUGUCGAAAACUUCAGGGUGAUCUGAAGGAGUUAAAGCGACAGAAGGAGCAAAUUGUCGUGAACCAGGACGAGACGGUAUCAGCGAUGGCGCAGACAGCAGAGUCGGAGAUGAUCGAUUCUGAUGUGCUAUAUGCGGCGACCGGAGGUGCGAAAAUUUCGGACGAUGCUUGGGUGCUCGAUUCGGCGUGUUCUUUUCACGUAUGCCCGGAAGAGUCUUUUGCCACCUAUAAGGCGAUCAAAGGUGGAAAGGCGCUGAUGGGGAACGGGACAACGUGCAAAGUAUUGGGAGUCGACAUGGUGAAAAUUCGAAUGCACAAUGGGGUCGUGAGG
rnacentral:lncRNA from 1 species